AGUCAAGUGGUAACACAGUUUUAAAUUUAAGACACUCAUAAGAUUCUACAGUUGACACUGACAUAUAUUCAGUUUUAAAGCUUGUUCUGUGCAUCUAAUCAUAUGACCCUUUACUUGUUUUGCAUAUUUAAGCUACAUCAGCAACAAGUUUGCUAUGUCUGCACAAGCGGAGACUCAGUCUUUUGCUUGCCUUGGUUCCCAGCAUCUGUCUCAGUGAUGUGCUCCAGGGCUGCCCACUUGCUGGUCAGAGUAGUGAAUUCUGAGUUAUAGGAGAUUUCUGAGUGUACAGCCCAGUGCCUGGCACAGAGUAGGUCUCAGGGAGUGACAGCUAUUAUGAUUACUGUGGGUAGAGAAGCUUGGGAAAUAUUCCCCAGUGCAUUUGAAAUGUGUUGACAGAUGGGCAGAGACAGGAGGUGAAAUUCAAGCCUGUUGACUUGUUAGUAGAAUAGUUCCUCAAUUAGAUAACAGCAGAAACUCCUAGAGCUGUUUUGUUAUGCUUCAAGUUGGCAUUCUUUGUGUGUGUGUGUUUCUGUGUGCGUGUGUGUGUAUGUACACACAUAUGUAUGUUUGAGAGAGUGUGGAGGUGAGAAAUAACCUUGGGUAUUAAACACUUUUUUUUUUUUGAGAUAAGAUCUUUUAUUGGCCUUUGGCUCAUCUAAUUAGUCUAGGCUAGAUGGUGAGCCAUGAGUCCACCUAAAAAUCUCUCUCAAAAGCAGGGAUUACAAGUGAGUGCCACAAAGCUUGACCUUCUUAUGUGGGCUCUGGGGAUUGAAUUCAAGACCUUGUGAAUUCGAGACUACCAGUUUGCCAACGGAACCGUCUUUCCAGCCCUGUUGGCAUUCUUAUGAAAGGUUGAUUGCUCUAGAGAACAGGCAGAAUUAUGAAAUCAAAUGUAGAUAGCCUCAAGUUGAACCUGUUAAGUUGACUCUAAGACACCAUGACACCUAGAUGACAAUAUGUGGUUUGCAUCGUCAUAGGAUUAACAGUGACAGUUGGUGGAGUAACUUGUACAUAAUAUAGGCAUAAUUAGUGAACAAAUAUUAUAGGCUACUAGUCUGCUAAGGCUGCCAACAACAGCAAGUAAGUAUUACUGUAUAUGUGACACCCAAACAGAAAACUAUAGUCUUACUGUUCCAGAGGGUGACAGCCCCAAACUGGUGACAUUAGACUUUUUUCAUCUGAAGCUUGUAAAUGCUCAUCUUCCUCACUAUGGAUUUAUGUUAUCUUUCUUCUACCCAAUGGAAAAAUAAAAAAAUCUUCAUUUUAAGGUUAUCAGUUACUAUGGGUUAGGUUAGUCAUAACUGAAGUUGGUUACCUUUACAAGAAAUUUGUCCAAAUGAAGCCAUGCUUGAAACUUUACUAUUUGUGUUUUGAAACAAAUCAGAACCAGGUAUUAUUCCCCACUUCUUAGAAAAGAGGAUCAAGAGCUAAUAGAACUUUCCAUGGCCUAGUUCAUCAGAGGGGUAUUAAGAAGAGUUCCAAUUGCUCUUGAAAGCUACUGAGCUCCAUCAAUAUGUAAAUAUGGAGGUAGCCUUAGUGGGUGAGCACAGUACUUGGGUCAGUUCUUAUUCUUGCCUAGCAUAUGGGCUUGGCUCUCAGGUGUUGGAUUAAGUAGACAUGGUACUUAGAAGGACACGAGAUAUCUUCUUAUCUUCUUAGGCAUCUGUGCUUCUUAUACUGAUGGUUGGAUUACUAACCAGAAUCUUGACAACAAUAACAGUUAUAGCCAACACCUCCAUGACUUAAAAUUGCUAGCACUCUGUGAUUUUCUGAGCUGCUUUCGUCAAUGUCAUUUUUAUCCUUUGACAACCCUGUGGGUGGAGGCAGAUGUAUAACUCCUCAUGAAAGCCCUUAGGACCAGACACACUCCAGAAUCCAGAGCUCCAAAGGGUUGAGAUGAUAACAGUAUAUGCCCUGAUCAUUACAUAGUAUUCCUUAAGGGUCUGAGGCAGUUUUGAUGCCCUAGAGCUGAAUGUCUAAAUAAGUCACAUGACACUGGACUGGUAAAGGUACAUAACAUCUUGUUUGUGUAGGUCAGAUUUUGCUACUUCUGAAUU
rnacentral:lncRNA from 1 species